rnacentral:rRNA from 1 species
AUGAACGCUGGCGGCGUGCCUAAUACAUGCAAGUCGAGCGAACGGACGAGAAGCUUGCUUUUCUGAUGUUAGCGGCGGACGGGUGAGUAACACGUGGAUAACCUACCUAUAAGACUGGGAUAACUUCGGGAAACCUGAGCUAAUACCGGAUAAUAUUUUGAACCGCAUGGUUCAAAAGUGAAAGACGGUCUUGCUGUCACUUAUAGAUGGAUCCGCGCUGCAUUAGCUAGUUGGUAAGGUAACGGCUUACCAAGGCAACGAUGCAUAGCCGACCUGAGAGGGUGAUCGGCCACACUGGAACUGAGACACGGUCCAGACUCCUACGGGAGGCAGCAGUAGGGAAUCUUCCGCAAUGGGCGAAAGCCUGACGGAGCAACGCCGCGUGAGUGAUGAAGGUCUUCGGAUCGUAAAACUCUGUUAUUAGGGAAGAACAUAUGUGUAAGUAACUGUGCACAUCUUGACGGUACCUAAUCAGAAAGCCACGGCUAACUACGUG